rnacentral:rRNA from 1 species
UACGGGGGGGGCAAGCGUUGUUCGGAAUUACUGGGCGUAAAGGGCUCGUAGGUGGCCAACUAAGUCAGACGUGAAAUCCCUCGGCUUAACCGGGGAACUGCGUCUGAUACUGGAUGGCUAGAGAUUGGGAGAGGGAUGCGGAAUUCCAGGUGUAGCGGUGAAAUGCGUAGAUAUCUGGAGGAACACCGGUGGCGAAGGCGGCAUCCUGGACCAAUACUGACGCUGAGGAGCGAAAGCCAGGGGAGCAAACGGG